CUGCGGCCCCAACCCCCCCGCCCCCCUCCCUGCGCCCUCACCGGCCAGGGGCUGACCCCGCUGGGAGGCCGGGCUUCAGCCGGGGUUAGGGAGACCCUGCUUCCCGCAGCCCCCUCCCUCCUGGCCGGAGCCCGACGGCUCCCCUCUCCCGGGCAAAGUGGGGGCCGCCUUCCAAGGUGACGGGGCCCCGACGACGCGCGCCCGGCCCGGGCAGGGAGGCCGCCCCCCGCCCCCCGCCCCCCACGGCGGCUCCCCUGCUUGCGGGCGCCGGGCCCUCGGGUGAGGCCGUCUCUGUAGGGGUCGCGGGCGGCGGGGAGGCGGGGGCGGGGUGCGCGGGGAGGCGGCAGGCCCCCCACGCUGGGCUCCCCACGCGCGGCUCCCCACGCUCGGCUCCCCGGCGGCCGCAGCAGGUGGGGGCCCGGGGGCGGGGCCGGCGCGGGGCGGAGCCGGCGGCGGCGGCGGCGGCGGCGGCUGCGGCGAGCGCGGGGCGGGGGCGGGGGCGGGAGCGGAGCCGGAGCCGGAGCCGGAGCCGGGGCGCGGGGCGGGGGGCGGGAGCCGCGAGCCGCGCAGUCCGGACGCCCGCGGGAGCUCGCCGCGCGCCGGGGCCGGGACCUGCCUGGCCGAGCGCGCCGGCGCCGCGACCUCAGACAAAGGCGCCGCCUGCGCCGGGGCCGCCGCGCUCUCGGGCUCCGCUCUGGAAGAGUUCCGUCAUCAGUUCCGGGCACAGGGCUGCUCUCUCCACACAUUCAAGCAGUUCUUGGACACCAGCUGGCUGUCCUGCAGUUCAACUCGAUUCUGCCUCCAUGUCCUGGGACAGAGCAUCAGAUUCCACAGGUUAA
rnacentral:lncRNA from 1 species